CGCUGAGCAAUUUGAGUGCCUGUACCUUGAGACAGAAAAUGGCACAGUUGCUCUCAGGCUGUACACUGCUUUGCUACAACAUAGAGGCUUGAAAGGGGAGGGCAAAAUCAGUGUUUUCAACCAGGUCUACAAGAAUAAUGAUGAUACUUAUAAAAAGUUGCCAGGCACCUGAAGAUAGGCAGAACUGACUGGAAAUGGGGGAAAGAGCACCAGUGACACACAUGGCUGUGCUAUUUAAAAACCUAAUAUUGGACUACACCUGAAAUGGGACUUCUUUGAAGAAAUCAUAGAAUACAGCUGGGUACCAAACAUUAAGGCUGUCAGUUCCAAGGCAC